rnacentral:lncRNA from 1 species
UAGCACGAACUUCAAGUUUGGACCAUCAUUCAUGCUUCGUUUGAAAAGCAAAAAAGGAAAAUAAAGAGAUGUGAGCAUCACAGCUUAGUAAAUAAAACUUAGAAAAGAUUGACUCAGGAACGAAUUUUGCAGAAAGCUCCAUUACAGAGUUCAAGCCUAACCAUUAAUGGAGAAGCUAUGGGAACGACCAAUUUAUCAUUUUAAUAAUGGAUUUACAUAGACCAAUACAUCAAUUUGCAAAUUCUUCCAGAAAAGGAAGGGCUGCUUUGAGGAUGAGUAAUUACUGGAUCUGCUCGUUUUCU